GCCGCGCGCAGCCUUCAAAUUAAUCAAGGACGAAAGUAAUGGGAGUAACAGAAGAAUAAGGACAUUUCGCAAUUUAAGGUUAGGGUUACACACUGACUUUCUAUCAUGGUCUAUGGACCCCCUGAAGUUGCCUUGGCCACCCCCAGGACACCCCAUGUGAAAAACUCUAGCUCCGCCACUGACCGCAACAUUUAUGCGAGACAACUGUUACUGGGUGAGGUGCAGAACAAAAAGGACACCGAACAAAGAUACUGAACCCAAAACACCUGUAGUGAAGCCAAG